AGGACGAACGCUGGCGGCGUGCUUAACACAUGCAAGUCGAACGAUGAAGCUGGAGCUUGCUCCGGUGGAUUAGUGGCGAACGGGUGAGUAACACGUGAGCAAUCUGCCCUUGACUCUGGGAUAACUGCGGGAAACUGUAGCUAAUACCGGAUACGACACCUUGGGGCAUCCCAGGGUGUGGAAAGAAUUUCGGUCAAGGAUGAGCUCGCGGCCUAUCAGCUAGUUGGUGAGGUAAUGGCUCACCAAGCCGACGAUCGGUAGCUGGUCUGAGAGGAUGAUCAGCCACACUGGGACUGAGACACGGCCCAGACUCCUACGGGAGGCAGCAGUGGGGAAUAUUGGACAAUGGGCGCAAGCCUGAUCCAGCAAUGCCGCGUGAGUGAUGAAGGCCUUAGGGUUGUAAAGCUCUUUCGCACGUGACGAUGAUGACGGUAACGUGAGAAGAAGCCCCGGCUAACUACGUG
rnacentral:rRNA from 1 species